rnacentral:rRNA from 1 species
GUGAGUAGUUCAGAGUUUGAUCCUGGCUCAGGAUUAACGCUGGCGGCGUGCAUAACACAUUCAAGUCGAACGGUGACGGGGCUUCGGCCCCUGAUCAGUGGCGGACGGGUGAGUAACGCGUGAGCAAUCUACCUCUUGGUGAGGGAUAACAACCGGAAACAGUUGCUAAUACCUCAUGAAACAGCAGCAUCGCAUGGUGCAACUGUCAAAGAUUUAUUGCCAAGAGAUGAGCUUGCGUCUGAUUAGCUAGUUGGUGAGGUAACGGCUCACCAAGGCGACGAUCGGUAGCCGGACUGAGAGGUUGAACGGCCACAUUGGAACUGAGAUACGGUCCAG